rnacentral:lncRNA from 1 species
UUACACAAUGUGGUCCCCCUCAUCAAGAAGCUAUCAUAUAACCCCAAUGUGGAUGCUUUGAUGCCCUUAUAUAUGUGUCUGUUGUCGCUGUCUUAAAAUCACCAUUAUAGUAAUAAAUCUUCAACGAAAGAGAGAUCAUUCAUCGUUGAUGUUUAAUUGCUUGUUUGUUGUUUUGAUUUUGUAGAGGCACAAUAGUAAGUUUAAAAUUAUUAUGUAUCAUUGUUAUAGAUGGAAGCUAUACUAACGAAGGGCUACGAAUAGAAUUGCCCAUUUGAAUUUUAUAAUUAAGGAAGCCAUUCUAAUUAAACUGACUACCUAUUUCUCUUGCAUUAAUCUUCCACAACACUGUUUUGAACUGUAACGAGAAAAGCAAAAUCCAUCAAUGUUCAACCACGAAAAGAAAAAUAAAACUCACAUCGCACUUUGCAAUCAUAAAAUCAAUUCAACUUCAUACCAAUAGAUUUGUAAAACUUGUAUCUAUUUCGAUCCUUCAUUGAAAUUUAGAUCAAAAUAUGAUUAAACGCAUACUAAAGUAAUAAAGUCGUUGAACAUGUCAUUUAUUUUGAAUCUUCACCGAAAUAAAAACAAAAAGUUUAGGGGUGGAUCAUGGAGAGCCAUUGUUAGUCUGAACCACGAAGGGGGAAGAAGCGGCGGCGCAGCAACGACAACACAACCCCGGUGGUGGAGGUUCGCAGCAUAAACAAGCCGGGCACCUACCCAUCUUCGCCAGCACCUCUGCAUUACAUAAAUUAAAUAAAAGGAAAUUAAGAAGAAAAAAACAAAACAUCAAGAGAUGGAUAAUCACAUAAAACAUUUACUCCAUUUUUUUUGGUACCGGUAAAUUGAGCUGCACCAGCAGGUGGAAAGAUGGGUGAUAAGACGAAGAGGAAGAGGAGCAGAGGCACCACGCUGCUAAUCGCCAUGACAGAAUUAAAUCACAAGUAAUUAUUUAAGUUUUUAGGAGAAGGGGUUGUGUGUGUAUUGGAGAAAGAUAUGUUUGUUUGACCCAAUCCAAUAAUUAAAGUCAACAAGAACAUGCGGUGUUGUGCGAUUGUUUGGAAGUCAAACUACGUGUGGAAUUAAUUGAAGGCAGCUUGCUUUUCUGUGUUACUAUAUUUCAAGUUGGUUUAAUUUUCUUGAGAGGCUUGGAUUCUUUUGUCAUGGAACUAAUUAAUUCGUGUCUGUUGUGUGUGGAGUUUCGUUUUGGGGUUGGGGAAGGAAGUAAGGUUAAUGGAUUAAAUUUGAAUUAAAUAGGCAGCUCGCAAAAUGAAGGAACUUAUCUAUCCCACAUCGAAAAAAUCCCAGCAAUUUGACGCGUAUAUAUUGGUGAAGAGCAGAGAGAUGGUCACGACCUUACUUGAACAGGAUCUGUUCUAUAGGCUCGUACCUCUGUAUCCUUGAUUUCUAAGGAGACAGGAAACCAUGUCUGGUGGAUGAACCAUGUCUGCUUGACCAGAGCGUGAUUAACCGCACCAGUGGGUUUGGUGUCCGAACCGCUGGUCCAGUAGAGGAUCGUUCUCGGUUCACUUCGUUGAACUGGGGUGGUCUUGCAGCUGUCUGACAGACUUCUAUUUUUUUUUUUUCAUUCUAUUCUUUUAAUGUUUUAUUUAAAUUUCUUCCAAUAUUGAAGAUAUUUUUAUUUUUCUAUAUUUUAUUCAAAUUUCUAUUUUUUUUUAUUAUUCAAUUCUUUUAAUGUUUUAUUCAAAUUUCUUCCAACAUUCAAGAUAAUAGGGUUUGUGUAUGAAUCAAAUAAUAUUUAAAUACGAACAAAUUUUAAAUUGAAUACUAUUAAAAAUUUUAAAUUGAAUAUGAACAAAUUUCAAAUAAUAGGAGUAUUAUUUAUAAUAUACUAUUAAAAAAAAUUGAAAUCAAAUAUAUAUAUAUAUAUAUAUAUAUAUACGAAUUUUGUUUUGGUAAAUAAAACUUUCAUUCACGCACGAGGGGUGCAACCCAAAAAGAAGUACAAAGUUCAACGAUUAACCAAACAAAAAUCACAACUCAAGGCAACAAGACGUAUUACAAAUCCAAUCACUCAAACUAAAACAAGCGACGCUAGGACAUAAAUUUGACAUCCAAAACCAAAAUCUCACUUUGAUCAUUUCGACGAGGUUCUCACAACAACUCGGCAAAUUCUUGAAAUCACUCAUUUCUAUGUUUCCAUAAGUUCCAAACAACAUAAAUCCACAGAGAUUUCCACCAUUCUAUAGAGCUCUUUCUCCUAGCAUUUCCCAAAUGUUGUUGAAAGUGGCAUAAUGGAGUCAAUGGACUAUCAUGUUCAACAUAAUUAAUUCCAAACCAGCUGUAGCAACUACUCCAGACACCAAAAAACAUGUUCAACAGAUUCACAUUGNAUUUUUUUUGGUACCGGUAAAUUGAGCUGCACCAGCAGGUGGAAAGAUGGGUGAUAAGACGAAGAGGAAGAGGAGCAGAGGCACCACGCUGCUAAUCGCCAUGACAGAAUUAAAUCACAAGUAAUUAUUUAAGUUUUUAGGAGAAGGGGUUGUGUGUGUAUUGGAGAAAGAUAUGUUUGUUUGACCCAAUCCAAUAAUUAAAGUCAACAAGAACAUGCGGUGUUGUGCGAUUGUUUGGAAGUCAAACUACGUGUGGAAUUAAUUGAAGGCAGCUUGCUUUUCUGUGUUACUAUAUUUCAAGUUGGUUUAAUUUUCUUGAGAGGCUUGGAUUCUUUUGUCAUCGAACUAAUUAAUUCGUGUCUGUUGUGUGUGGAGUUUCG